rnacentral:rRNA from 1 species
UACGUAGGGUGCAAGCGUUGUCCGGAAUUAUUGGGCGUAAAGAGCUCGUAGGCAGUCUGUCACGUCGGCUGUGAAAUCCCGAGGCUCAACCUCGGGUCUGCAGUCGAUACGGGCAAACUAGAGUAUUGCAGGGGAGACUGGAAUUCCUGGUGUAGCGGUGAAAUGCGCAGAUAUCAGGAGGAACACCGGUGGCGAAGGCGGGUCUCUGGGCAAUAACUGACGCUGAGGAGCGAAAGCGUGGGGAGCGAACAGG